GUAAGGAAUAUUGGUCAAUGGGGGCAACCCUGAACCAGCCAUGCCGCGUGAAGGAUGAAGGCGUUAUGCGUUGUAAACUUCUUUUGUAUGGGAAGAAUGACAGGGAUUUAUCCUUGGAGAGACGGUACCAUACGAAUAAGCACCGGCUAACUCCGUGCCAGCAGCCGCGGUAAUACGGAGGGUGCGAGCGUUGUCCGGAUGUAUUGGGUUUAAAGGGUGCGUAGGCUGGAAGGUCAGUCAGCGGUGAAAAGCUGUCGCUUAACGAUAGUCUUGCCGCAGAUACUUCCUUUCUUGGAUGAGGAGGAGGCCACUGGAACGGAUGGUGUAGCGGUGAAAUGCAUAGAUAUCAUCCAGAACACCGAUUGCGAAGGCAGGUGGCUGUACCUUAAUCGACGCUGAUGCACGAAAGCAUGGGGAGCAAACAGGAUUAGAUACCCGGGUAGUCC
rnacentral:rRNA from 1 species